rnacentral:rRNA from 1 species
GAUGAACGCUAGCUACAGGCUUCCCUCAUGCAAGUCGAGGGGCAGCAUCAUCAAAGCUUGCUUUGAUGGAUGGCGACCGGCGCACGGGUGAGUAACACGUAUCCAACCUGCCGACAACACUGGGAUAGCCUUUCGAAAGAAAGAUUAAUACCGGAUGGCAUAAUUAUUCCGCAUGGGAUAAUUAUUAAAGAAUUUCGGUUGUCGAUGGGGAUGCGUUCCAUUAGGCAGUUGGCGGGGUAACGGCCCACCAAACCUACGAUGGAUAGGGGUUCUGAGAGGAAGGUCCCCCACAUUGGAACUGAGACACGGUCCAAACUCCUACGGGAGGCAGCAGUGAGGAAUAUUGGUCAAUGGACGAGAGUCUGAACCAGCCAAGUAGCGUGAAGGAUGACUGCCCUAUGGGUUGUAAACUUCUUUUAUACGGGAAUAAAGUUAGCCACGUGUGGCUUUUUGUAUGUACCGUAUGAAUAAGGAUCGGCUAACUCCGUG